AGGAAGUAAAAGUCGUAACAAGGUUUCCGUAGGUGAACCUGCGGAAGGAUCAUUACUGAGUCGUCGACACGAGUUGUUGCUGGUCCUCGGAAGGGGUCACGUGCACGCUCUGUUUACACAUCCACUCACACCUGUGCACCCUCUGUAGUUCUAUGGUCUGGGGGGCCCUGCCUCCCUUCCGUGGUUCUGCAUCUUUACACACACACUGUAAUAAAGUCUUAUGGAAUGCGCACCGCGUUUAACGCAAUACAAUACAACUUUCAGCAACGGAUCUCUUGGCUCUCGCAUCGAUGAAGAACGCAGCGAAAUGCGAUAAGUAAUGUGAAUUGCAGAAUUCAGUGAAUCAUCGAAUCUUUGAACGCACCUUGCGCCCCUUGGCCAUUCCGAAGGGCAUGCCUGUUUGAGUAUCAUGAACACCUCAACUCUCAUGGUUCGCCAUGAUGAGCUUGGACUUUGGGGGCUUUGCUGGCCUAUGGUCGGCUCCUCUCAAAUGAACCAGCUUGCCAGUGUUUGGUGGCGUCACAGGUGUGAUAACUAUCUACGCUUGCGAUUGUCCACCAGGUAACCUUCAGCAGUGGAGGUUCGCUGGGGCUCAUAGACGUCUCUCCUCAGUGAGGACAGCUUUUUUAACGUUCGAUCUCAAAUCAGGUAGGACUACCCGCUGAACUUAA
rnacentral:rRNA from 1 species